GGAUGGGAUCAUACCAGCACUAAAGCAUCGGAUCCCAUCAGAACUCCGAAGUUAAGCGUGCUUGGGCGAGAGUAGUACUAGGAUGGUGACCUCCAGGGAAGUCCUCGUGUUGCAUUCC
rnacentral:rRNA from 2 species